AGAGACAUCACAUCCUAGUGGGAGGAGAGGAGAAUGGUUUGCAGUUGUGCAGGGCAAUUUGCUCCAUGGGAAAGAGGGGUCACAGGUUACAAGGAGAGUAGAGGGAGCAAGGCCCAUGGUUGUAACCCUAGCCACUCAGGAGGCUGAAAUGUGAGGAUGGAGGUUUGAAGUCAGCCUAAACAGAGUCUUUGUUGUUGUUUUAAAUUUAGGUCACAGACUGGGACUCAAACUCACUAUUUGAUGUUUUUUCAACUCAGUGGCUUUGGCUCUUCAACCCCUCCACACCUCCAACCACUCCCUAAGACUCUUAUCUCCAACUAACAACCAAAAAGCCAGAGUGGAGCUGCAGUUCCAAGAGACAGAGCACCAGCCUUGAGGAAACAAGCUCAGGCACAGCACCCAGGUCAUGAAUUCAAGCCCCAGGACUGGCAUUCCCCAUCACCUCGUGAGUGGGCAGCAGAGGACCACCUUCGCCAUGUACUCAGGACUGACUUCUGGAAAGAGGUAUUACCUGAGGAAGAGGAAAGAAAAGGAGCCAGGGAUGGCAGCUGUGACUCAGUUGACAUUCAGGGACUUGGCUGUGGAUUUCACCCAAGAGGAAUGGCCAUGCCUGACC